rnacentral:tRNA from 1 species
GCCCUGUGGUGAAAUUUCAUAUUGAAUUGCAAAUUCAAAGAAGCAGCUUCAAGCUCUGCCGGGGCUU